rnacentral:rRNA from 1 species
UAGGGAAUAUUGCACAAUGGACGAAAGUCUGAUGCAGCGACGCCGCGUGAGUGACGAAGGCCUUCGGGUUGUAAAGCUCUGUUCUCAGGGAAAAAGAAAGUGAUUGUACCUGAGGAGAAAGGACCGGCUAACUUCGUGCCAGCAGCCGCGGUAAGACGAGGGGUCCAAGCGUUGUUCGGAAUCAUUGGGCGUAAAGCGGGUGUAGGCGGCUCCAUAAGUCAGAAGUGAAAGCCCCGAGCUUAACUUGGGAAGUGCUUUUGAUACUGCAGAGCUUGAAUGUGGGAGAGGGUAGUGGAAUUCCAGGUGUAGUGGUGAAAUACGUAGAUAUCUGGAGGAACACCGGUGGCGAAGGCGGCUACCUGGCCCAACAUUGACGCUGAGACCCGAAAGCGUGGGGAUCAAACAG